AGAGCGAACGCUGGCGGCAGGCCUAACACAUGCAAGUCGAGCGCCCGUAGCAAUACGGGAGCGGCAGACGGGAUAGUAACACGUGGGAACGCGCCCUUCGGUUCGGAAUAACUCAGGGAAACUUGAGCUAAUACCGGAUACGCCCUUACGGGGAAAGAUUUAUUGCCGAAGGAACGGCCCGCGUCCGAUUAGCUAGUUGGUGAGGUAAUGGCUCACCAAGGCGACGAUCGGUAGCUGGUCUGAGGGGAUGACCAGCAUCACUGGGACUGAGACACGGCCCAGACUCCUACGGGAGGCAGCAGUGGGGAAUAUUGGACAAUGGGCGCAAGCCUGAUCCAGCCAUGCCGCGUGGAUGAUGAAGGCCUUAGGGUUGUAAAGUCCUUUUAACGGGGAGAUAAUGACGGUACCCGUAGAAUAAGCCCGGCUAACUUCGUGCCAGCAGCCGC
rnacentral:rRNA from 1 species